AUUGAACGCUGGCGGCAGGCCUAACACAUGCAAGUCGAACGAGUGGCGGACGGGUGAGUAAUGUAUGGGAAACUGACUGAUGGAGGGGGAUAACUACUGGAAACGGUCGCUAAUACCGCAUACCAGCGGAUAUGCCCAGAUGGGAUUGGCUGGUAGGUGGGGUAAAGGCUCACCUAGGCGACGAUCCCUAGCUGGUCUGAGAGGAUGACCAGCCACACUGGAACUGAGACACGGUCCAGACUCCUACGCGAGGCAGCAGUGGGGAAUAUUGGACAAUGGGCGAAAGCCUGAUCCAGCCAUGCCGCGUGUGUGAAGAAGGUCUUCGGAUUGUAAAGCACUUUAAGUUGGGAGGCGUUACCAACAGAAUAAGCACCGGCUAACUUCGUGCCAGCAGCCGCGGUAAUAC
rnacentral:rRNA from 1 species